UUACACAUGCAAGUCGAACGGCAGCACGGGAGCAAUCCUGGUGGCGAGUGGCGAACGGGUGAGUAAUACAUCGGAACGUGCCCUGUCGUGGGGGAUAACUAGUCGAAAGAUUAGCUAAUACCGCAUACGACCUGAGGGUGAAAGCGGGGGACCGCAAGGCCUCGCGCGAUAGGAGCGGCCGAUGUCUGAUUAGCUAGUUGGUGGGGUAAAGGCCCACCAAGGCGACGAUCAGUAGCUGGUCUGAGAGGACGAUCAGCCACACUGGGACUGAGACACGGCCCAGACUCCUACGGGAGGCAGCAGUGGGGAAUUUUGGACAAUGGGGGCAACCCUGAUCCAGCAAUGCCGCGUGUGUGAAGAAGGCCUUCGGGUUGUAAAGCACUUUUGUCCGGAAAGAAAUCCCUUGCCCUAAUACGGCGGGGGGAUGACGGUACCGGAAGAAUAAGCACCGGCUAACUACGUGCCAGCAGCCGCGGUAAUACGUAGGGUGCGAGCGUUAAUCGGAAUUACUGGGCGUAAAGCGYGCGCAGGCGGUUUUGUAAGACAGGCGUGAAAUCCCCGAGCUCAACUUGGGAAUGGCGCUUGUGACUGCAAGGCUAGAGUAUGUCAGAGGGGGGUAGAAUUCCACGUGUAGCAGUGAAAUGCGUAGAGAUGUGGAGGAAUACCGAUGGCGAAGGCAGCCCC
rnacentral:rRNA from 1 species